rnacentral:lncRNA from 1 species
GCAAGAUCAUAACCUAAAAAACCAUACUUAUCUAAUAUUUUAGUUUUUCAGGCAAUCUAAGUAUAAAUGCUCAAAAUGAAUUGGUGAUCUUUGCUUUCUCUGCACUUUGCUGUGGCACCUUGUGCAUCAUCAUGUCCUUGCAACCUAAGGGUGUCUCCCUCUCCUCAUCUGCCUGAGAAAUGGACUCAAGUAUGCAGUGACUGGAGAGGAGGUAAAGAAAUGUAUGCAGUGCUUGAUCAGAAUCAGCAACCAGGUUCAAACUGAUGUUGCAUACCUUGCUGCAUUCGUGGAUACAUGUGAGAUGGAGCAAACAUUGGCUAGCAUCAAGAAGACAGGGAAUGAACUCUAAGACCAUCAGCUUGACCAGCCCAUGAUAUUUCAGUGGAUUGUUCAUCUCAGGCCUUAAAGCUUUUUGAUGCUGUUUGGAAACCAACAGCAUCACAGCUCACUUGGACUUCAUCACACUGUUAUUUUCAGCAUGAAAAUGUGUGGUUUGGAACUAAGAAACGGAGCAAAAGGGAGAGAGAAGCACAGGGAUCUCCUAUCAACUGGCUUUCUCCAGCUACCGCAAUACCUGGACGCCACUAGCCUAAGGCCUAGCACUUAG